AGCAGCAGCCGCGGUAAUACGUAUGUCACAAGCGUUAUCCGGAUUUAUUGGGCGUAAAGCGCGUCUAGGUGGUUAUGUAAGUCUGAUGUGAAAAUGCAGAGCUCAACUCUGUAUUGCGUUGGAAACUGUGUAACUAGAGUACUGGAGAGGUAAGCGGAACUACAAGUGUAGAGGUGAAAUUCGUAGAUAUUUGUAGGAAUGCCGAUGGGGAAGCCAGCUUACUGGACAGAUACUGACGCUGAAGCGCGAAAGCGUGGGUAGCAAACAGGAUUAGAUACCCCCGUAGUCCCUGUCUCUUAUACC
rnacentral:rRNA from 1 species